rnacentral:snRNA from 1 species
UGGUCUGGCUUCUCUUCAGAUCACAUAAAUCCAUUUCUUUUUACUGAAGAUUUCCAUGGAGAGGAAUAAAUCUAGUCUUAAAUUAAUUUUCUGACUUCUCUUUCUGGCAGGGCUA